GAGCACGGUCACGUGCUCACUUAUGUCCAGUGCUCCCUGUGGCCACCAGAGUGGGGGGGGGGGCGCGGACACAAGAACCAAGUGGGGAAGGGAUGCUGGACGGAGGGGAAACUGAGGCCCAGAAGGGGCCAGGGCCGGGCUUCCGCCGCCGGCUUGGACCUGACAUCCCCCUCUGUCCAAGCAUUCGGUUCCGGCUCUCGAAAUAAACCCUCCGCCCGCCCGGUAGCCAGCCGGCCAAGGGCACCGCCGUGCUGCCAGCCCGGCCUGGUCACCCCGAAAAGCUGACGGAAGCCAGCUGCCCUCCCAGCGGUCGCUCGGCAGGCAGACACCCGGAGGCGUGACGCCUGCCCCCGUCCGGCACCCGAGGCCGCCAGGAGGGGCCUUGGAAAGCUCGGCUCCCCUCUUAACCCCCCGGGGCUUUGCAGCUCCUUUCCGGAAUGGCUUCCUGAUGAGGUCUGCAGCUGUGUGGGGUAAGCCUCUCUCUGGGCCUCGCCUCGAAUUUCCGCAUUGGAAGAGACCCAGGGACCACAGCACAGCACCGGGUGCACAGAGGAGGGCCAGGCAGGCCCGAGUCGUGCGGGAAUUAGUGGCUGGGCCAGGAUCUGAGCCCAGACUCCUCUGCUGGCCCAGAGUGACCCCGCUGGGCCUCCUCCGACUCCCUGCUGCUUUCCCUGCACAAAGCCCGGGCCGGGGAGGGCCAGACUCCAGCUCGCCCGUGGAACUGCUCCCCUCUGCUGCCCCCUGGUGGCCGUGAGGACACAUGGCGACCCAACCCUAAACCCCGGCACCCACAGGCUCCAGAUGCCUCAAGUGGCAAAGUGCCCACCCCAACCAGCAGCCUCUUGGGGCUUGAUGAGGAAACCGAGGCUCCCUAUUCUGUGGGGGCGGGGUAGUCACCCACCUGGAGGAGAGAAGGGCCC
rnacentral:lncRNA from 1 species